rnacentral:rRNA from 1 species
GACGAACGCUGGCGGCGUGCUUAACACAUGCAAGUCGAACGAAGUGGCGAACGGGUGAGUAACGCGUAAUCAACCUGCCCUUCAGAGGGGGACAACAGUUGGAAACGACUGCUACUACCGCAUACUGAAGAAGGGGAUUGCGUCUGAUUAGCUAGUUGGAGGGGUAACGGCCCACCAAGGCGAGGAUAAGUAGCCGGUCUGAGAGGAGGAACGGCCACAUGGGGACUGAGACACGGCCCAGACUCCUACGGGAGGCAGCAGUGGGGAAUCUUCCGCAAUGGACGAAAGUCUGACGGAGCAACGCCGCGUGAGUGAUGACGGCUUUCGGUUUGUAAAGCUCUGUUAAUCGGGACGCGGUACCGGAAUAGAAAGCCACGGCUAACUACGUGCCAGCAGCCGCGGUAAUAC